UGAGUGACAGGGGAAAUGGGGACCUCUUCCCCUUAUCACUCCAG
rnacentral:miRNA from 1 species